rnacentral:rRNA from 1 species
AUUGAACGCUGGCGGCAUGCCUUACACAUGCAAGUCGAACGGCAGCACGGGAGCAAUCCUGGUGGCGAGUGGCGAACGGGUGAGUAAAGUAUCGGAACGUGCCCAGGCGUGGGGGAUAACGUAGCGAAAGUUACGCUAAUACCGCAUACGAUCUAUGGAUGAAAGCGGGGGAUCGCAAGACCUCGCGCGAUUGGAGCGGCCGAUAUCAGAUUAGGUAGUUGGUGGGGGAAAGGCUCACCAAGCCGACGAUCUGUAGCUGGUCUGAGAGGACGACCAGCCACACUGGGACUGAGACACGGCCCAGACUCCUACGGGAGGCAGCAGUGGGGAAUUUUGGACAAUGGGCGAAAGCCUGAUCCAGCCAUGCCGCGUGCAGGAUGAAGGCCUUCGGGUUGUAAACUGCUUUUGUACGGAACGAAAAGGUUUGGCCUAAUAAGCUGAGCUCAUGACGGUACCGUAAGAAUAAGCACCGGCUAACUACGUGCCAGCAGCCGCGGUAA